AGCGAACGCUGGCGGCGUGCCUAACACAUGCAAGUCGAACGUGAAAGGGAGCAAUCCCAAGUAAAGUGGCGUACGGGUGAGUAACACGUAGGUAAUCUACCCCAGAAUCUGGAAUAACCGGCCGAAAGGCUGGCUAAUACAGGAUAGAGCGACGGAAUCCGUAAUUGGGUUUUUCUGGAAAGGGAGCCUGUAAAAAGGCCUUCGUUCUGGGAUGAGCGUUCGUCCCAUCAGCUCGUUGGUGAGGUAAAAGCUUACCAAGGCGGUGACGGGUAGCUGGUCGGAGAAGACGGUCAGCCACCCUGGGACUGUGACACGGCCCAGACUCCCAGGGGAAGGAGCCGUGGGGAAUCUUGCGCAAUGGGCGAAAGUCUUACGCAGCAACGCCGCGUGAGUGAAGAAGGCCUUCGGGUUGUGAAGGUCUGUCGAGUGGGACGAAAAUGCUUGGAGUUAACAGCUCCAGGAACUGACGGUACCACUAAAAGAAGCACCGGCUAACUCCGUG
rnacentral:rRNA from 1 species